CUUCCUCAAUCUGUUGGGGGCAAAUGUAAUGAACGUGUGUAUCGAUGCCACCGGCUGUCAAAAUUAGCUUUUCGCCGGCAAUGACAUCUGUGGUGUUUCCCACGAUCAUAUUGGGCGUCACUCCGUCCAUCAUGUCGGGAUUGCCGGCCUUGCCUAUACCCACUAUAGAAGUACCCUUUAUGCCCACAUCGGCCUUAACGAUACCAAUACAGGGAUCGAUAAUCAAAGCAUUGGUAAUAACCACAUCCAAUGCAUCGUCGGAUGUUGGUCCCGUUGCCUGUCCCAUUCCUUCCCGUAA
rnacentral:sRNA from 1 species